GAGCUCUGUGCGAUCGUGACAGCGUAGUUGUCUUCCAGCUAACCAAUGGACACAGUAAACAGUGUACUCGGCUUGGAGUGGAUAGACGGCUGGAGUGUUUUGAUAUUCCUGUGCGUUUUCCAGCGCCGAGAAACUUUCCCCCCGGCCCGUGGGCUCUCCCUGUGAUUGGCGACCUCCAUCGCAUUGAUCCCGCUCGGCUUCACCUGCAGUUCACAGAGAAAUUCUUGUAAGAGAAGAAAACAAACCUGCUGAAAAUGGCAAGAAGGCAUCUCUCCUGCGGAACUGGCCCUUUGAAUCCAAGAAAUGCUCGGGAUUGAAGGUAAACAUCGAUGUAAUCGCGAGGGUCAUCAGGGUUCCACUCCUCCUGGUGCUUCUCUAUUUCCUUUCUCAGGAACGUUGUCAGCUCUUUGUAGUUUCUGUGGACAGUCUGGUGAGGUCCUG